AUUGAACGCUGGCGGCAUGCUUUACACAUGCAAGUCGAACGGUAACAGGCCGCAAGGUGCUGACGAGUGGCGAACGGGCGAGUAAUGCAUCGGAACGUGCCCAGUCGUGGGGGAUAACGCAGCGAAAGCUGCGCUAAUACCGCAUACGAUCUAUGGAUGAAAGCGGGGGACCGUAAGGCCUCGCGCGAUUGGAGCGGCCGAUGUCAGAUUAGGUAGUUGGUGGGGUAAAGGCUCACCAAGCCAACGAUCUGUAGCUGGUCUGAGAGGACGACCAGCCACACUGGGACUGAGACACGGCCCAGACUCCUACGGGAGGCAGCAGUGGGGAAUUUUGGACAAUGGGCGCAAGCCUGAUCCAGCAAUGCCGCGUGCAGGAAGAAGGCCUUCGGGUUGUAAACUGCUUUUGUACGGAACGAAACGGCUCUGGUUAAUACCUGGGGCUAAUGACGGUACCGUAAGAAUAAGCACCGGCUAACUACGUGCCAGCCGCCGCAGUAACAC
rnacentral:rRNA from 1 species